rnacentral:rRNA from 1 species
CCUACGGGAGGCUGCAGUGAGGAAUCUUGGUCAAUGGACGCAAGUCUGAACCAGCCAUGCCGCGUGCAGGAAGACGGCUCUAUGAGUUGUAAACUUCUUUUGUACGAGGGUAAACGCAGAUACGCGUAUCUGUCUGAAAGUAUCUUACGAAUAAGGAUCGGCUAACUCCGUGCCAGCAGCCGCGGUAAUACGGAGGAUUCAAGCGUUAUCCGGAUUUAUUGGGUUUAAAGGGUGCGUAGGCGGUCUGAUAAGUUAGAGGUGAAACCCCGAGGCUCAACUGCGGAAUUGCCUCUGAUACUGUUAGGCUAGAGAGUAGUUGCGGUAGGCGGAAUGUAUGGUGUAGCGGUGAAAUGCUUAGAGAUCAUACAGAACACCGAUUGCGAAGGCAGCUUACCAAGCUACGUCUGACGUUGAGGCACGAAAGCGUGGGGAGCAAACAGGAUUAGAUACCCCUGUAGUC